rnacentral:rRNA from 1 species
AUUGAACGCUGGCGGCAUGCUUUACACAUGCAAGUCGGACGGCAGCACAGAGAAGCUUGCUUCUUGGGUGGCGAGUGGCGAACGGGUGAGUAAUAUAUCGGAACGUACCGAGUAAUGGGGGAUAACUAAUCGAAAGAUUAGCUAAUACCGCAUAUUCUCUGAGGAGGAAAGCAGGGGACCUUCGGGCCUUGCGUUAUUCGAGCGGCCGAUAUCUGAUUAGCUAGUUGGUGGGGUAAAGGCCUACCAAGGCGACGAUCAGUAGCGGGUCUGAGAGGAUGAUCCGCCACACUGGGACUGAGACACGGCCCAGACUCCUACGGGAGGCAGCAGUGGGGAAUUUUGGACAAUGGGCGCAAGCCUGAUCCAGCCAUGCCGCGUGUCUGAAGAAGGCCUUCGGGUUGUAAAGGACUUUUGUCAGGGAAGAAGAGGACAGGGUUAAUACCUCUGUUUGAUGACGGACCUGAAGAAUAAGC